rnacentral:rRNA from 1 species
GGGCCCGCACAAGCGGCGGAGCAUGCGGAUUAAUUCGAUGCAACGCGAAGAACCUUACCAAGGCUUGACAUAUACUAGACCGCCUCAGAGAUGGGGUUUCCCUUCGGGGCUGGUAUACAGGUGGUGCAUGGUUGUCGUCAGCUCGUGUCGUGAGAUGUUGGGUUAAGUCCCGCAACGAGCGCAACCCUCGUUCUAUGUUGCCAGCACGUAAUGGUGGGGACUCAUAGGAGACUGCCGGGGUUAACUCGGAGGAAGGUGGGG